AGAGUUUGAUCCUGGCUCAGAAUCAACGCUGGCGGCGUGCCUAACACAUGCAAGUCGAACGCGGUUAUCCCGCAAGGGAUAACUGAGUGGCGAACGGGUGAGUAACACGUGGGUGACCUACCUUCGAGUGGGGGAUAACGUCCCGAAAGGGACGCUAAUACCGCAUAACAUCCUGCUCUUGAACGAGCGGAGAUCGAAGCCGGGGAUCGCAAGACCUGGCGCUUGUUGAGGGGCCCGCGUCUGAUUAGCUAGUUGGUGAGGUAACGGCUCACCAAGGCGACGAUCAGUAUCCGGCCUGAGAGGGCGGACGGACACACUGGGACUGAGACACGGCCCAGACUCCUACGGGAGGCAGCAGUGGGGAAUUGUUCGCAAUGGGCGCAAGCCUGACGACGCAACGCCGCGUGGAGGAUGAAGGUCUUCGGAUCGUAAACUCCUGUUGCCCGGGACGAAUAGCUUCGACCUAACACGUCGGAGUAUGACGGUACCGGGGAGAGCC
rnacentral:rRNA from 1 species